rnacentral:sRNA from 1 species
ACUUUUUUUCUUCUUCUUCUUAUAUGCUCAACGAUCUAAUACGUCAAUG